AUCCAACACUGAAAGCUCACUGGA
rnacentral:siRNA from 1 species